rnacentral:rRNA from 1 species
AUUGAACGCUGGCGGCAUGCCUUACACAUGCAAGUCGAACGGCAGCACGGGAGCAAUCCUGGUGGCGAGUGGCGAACGGGUGAGUAAUAUAUCGGAACGUGCCCGGUCGUGGGGGAUAACGUAGCGAAAGCUACGCUAAUACCGCAUACGAUCUACGGAUGAAAGCGGGGGAUCGCAAGACCUCGCGCGAUUGGAGCGGCCGAUAUCAGAUUAGGUAGUUGGUGAGGUAAAGGCUCACCAAGCCGACGAUCUGUAGCUGGUCUGAGAGGAUGAUCAGCCACAUUGGGACUGAGACACGGCCAAACUCCUACGGGAGGCAGCAGUGGGGAAUAAUUGGACAAUGGGCGCAAGACCUGAUCCAGCCAUGCCGCGUGAGUGAUGAAGGCCCUAGGGUUGUAAAGCUCUUUCACCGGUGAAGAUAAUGACGGUAACCGGAGAAGAAG